UGGAGAGCAGUACUUAGAGUUAUAUAAACCACUUCCCAGAGCAGGAAAAUUAAAAUGUGAAGCAGUUGUUGCUGAUGUCCUAGAUAAAGGAUCCGGUGUAGUGAUUAUUAUGGAUGUCUAUUCUUAUUCUGAGAAGGAACUUAUAUGCCACAAUCAGUUCUCUCUCUUUCUUGUUGGCUCUGGAGGCUUUGGUGGAAAACGGACAUCAGACAAAGUCAAGGUAGCUGUAGCCAUACCUAAUAGACCUCCUGAUGCUGUACUUACAGAUACCACCUCUCUUAAUCAGGCUGCUUUGUACCGCCUCAGUGGAGACUGGAAUCCCUUACACAUUGAUCCUAACUUUGCUAGUCUAGCAGGUUUUGACAAGCCCAUAUUACAUGGAUUAUGUACAUUUGGAUUUUCUGCCAGGCGUGUUUUACAGCAGUUUGCAGAUAAUGAUGUGUCAAGAU
rnacentral:sRNA from 1 species